rnacentral:lncRNA from 1 species
GCCUAAUGCUAGGGAAUUUCAACACAGUAAGCACAUGCUUUGUUAACCUUUCCCUCUUUCUCCAGCAUUUUCUUGGGACUUUUUCUCAUAACAAUACCACGGCAUUUCCUGCUGCAUUGCCUGUGAUAAGAGCAUAUGGAUCUGAGAGAAACGAAGGGGAAGUAAAAGAAAUGCAGUCACUCGCUUGUCACCAGAAAAAAAGGUGGAAGGCACACGUCAGUGACAACAGCACCAUCUUCUGUCUGCAGAGAUUAUGAAGCCUGCAUUCACGCUUGCCCGAGUACUCCAGAGAUGGGGCUGGUUGAGACUCCUCGAUCUACAGCUGGAUCUUGAACUCUUCAUGAGCUUGAGUGUCUGAACAAGUCUGAUUGUAUGUGGGGAAGCGUGGGUGUAUGAAAAGCUACAAAAGCUUCAGCUCUCAUACCACUUAUCCCUGGAGCAACCUUUUCAUCUGCCUUUUAUUAUCCUCCCCACAAAAACUCAGUUGCAAAACUUAGACUACAUUUUCCUUCCCUGUGGCUUGAUAUAUUGC